rnacentral:sRNA from 1 species
CUGAGCUCAAGCCUGUGGAACUGGACACUUUGGAAGGAAACAUCACGAAGCAGCUGGUCAAGAGGCUCACAUCUGCAGAGGUGCCAAUGGCCACAGACAGGCUGCUCUCUGAGGGUUCUGUUGGUGGAGAAUCCGAAGGCUGCAGAUCCUUUCUAGAUGGAAGCUUAGAGGAUGCUUUUAAUGGGCUUUUCCUUGCAUUAGAACCACAUAAAGAGCAGUAUAAAGAGUUUCAGGAUCUGAACCAAGAAGUCAUGCAUUUGGAUGAUAUUCUAAAAGAUGCUAAACACCUUGAUGAUCAGAAACUAAAUGGUGCUGCCUCUUGGACGGAGAUCACUGAGGGUGAAUGAGACAACUGUGAUUUAAAAGACCGAAAGACGUUUUCCCAUGUGCUUUUGUGCCAUCUUGAGUGUCAGAGACAGAUCCCUGCAAGGCCCUUCCUACCUUGCGCUAAGAAAUCAGCAAGGAGUGUCACCUAACUGGAUGGAGGACAUUUAGUGCUUCUAACUUGCAGAAUUUGUCCCAUUCGACCCACCCCAGCAUCCUCUUGAAUAUUUGGAAAUACUUCUCUCCAACUCUGUGCCCAUAGCAACUGGCAUUGUUUUGCUUGUAAUGUUUCUGCAUGUGGCCAGCAUUAUAGAAUGCUCCAGGCCAGAGAAUGAGAUUGCUCCCAUGAUGCCAGGGCCUGGUCAGGGAAGUGGUGGGACUUGUUCCCUUUGAGGCAGAGCUCCAGAGGAAGCAGGGCUGCUUCUUGUCAUGCCCAAGGCAUUCAUUCUUUCCUC